rnacentral:tRNA from 1 species
GUUAAUAUAGCUUAAUUAGAGCUUAACACUGAAGAUGUUAGGGUGUUUAUUUUUAAACUAUUAACA